rnacentral:rRNA from 1 species
UACGAAGGGGGCUAGCGUUGCUCGGAAUCACUGGGCGUAAAGGGCGCGUAGGCGGCGUUUUAAGUCGGGGGUGAAAGCCUGUGGCUCAACCACAGAAUUGCCUUCGAUACUGGGACGCUUGAGUGUGGUAGAGGUUGGUGGAACUGCGAGUGUAGAGGUGAAAUUCGUAGAUAUUCGCAAGAACACCGGUGGCGAAGGCGGCGACCUGGUCCUUUUACUGACGCUGAGGCGCGAAAGCCAGGGGAGCAAACGGG